UGUGGUGUUUGCUGGCUUCAUGUAGAGUCAAAUCAAACAUGUCUGAUGACAUUUACUGCGGGAAAAUAAUGUGCAGUCGAUAUUUGACAAUCAGAUGCCAGUGCACGAAACGUAUUUGUAAAGGGGUUUGGGCAGGAUUGUAGAGCACAGCACCCUCAUGUGGCAGGCUGCUGGGUCCCUACCAAAGGGAGAUUGCUCUGGGAGAGGAGACAAGGAUAGUCUUUCAGAUGAGAGGACCGGAAACCCAGUGACUCAGGUCUGCAGCUGCCAUUUUCCAGUGGGAACGAGAAAUGGCCCUGUAUUUCCAGAAAAGUCCAACAGGAGUGCAUCCCUCAAACCACAUGGUGCAUGGACAUCCUGUGCCAGUGGGAUCUGAGCGAGAGCGUCCAGUUGUGGAGACUACAGCACAUCGAGCCUGUGGAUG